CCUUUGAAGAUGGUCAGAAAACUUGGAUUGGCUUAGAAUACAGCAGCCAGACUUCCAACCAGAGAGCCAUAGUUCCGAUGCUCUAACUCUGAUCGUAAAAGGUCAGAGCUGGCUGUCACGUCCUUUCCAGGCUCACUUCCAGGCGUCCCAAGGGGUGGGGUGUGCAUGGAUUCAGCACUGCAACACCUUCAGGGGGAUGCACGCUCCAGGGAGAGAUGCACACCAACCACUCUGCCGAGAAAUGCUAAGGAAUCCUCCCCAUUGUCUCCUUCCUUGGGACCUUGAAACCAGGAGAGAAUUUCACGGAUCUCUCAGCAAAUCCACCGGUUAGGACACGUGAGAGCUGCAAGGAGAGGGAAGUCUCACAUCCUCAUUCUCCCUUCAGCACUGUGGAGAACAAGGAGAGAUGAACGGCUGACCGUGCAAGGUGCCAAUUAGCUCCGGAUAUCAGGGUUUUCAGUGUUCCCUAAGGAGGCAGUGGGGCAGGGAAUACCAGCCUUAAAGAUGUAAACCUGUGGCUUGAUAUAUUGUUCUAUAGCUAAGAUUUUUGUAAACCGCUUUGGGAGGUUCACCUGGAAG